rnacentral:pre_miRNA from 1 species
UCCAAAUGUUGGGAAUUGUUUAGGAUCGACAUUUGAUCGUCUGUUUUAUUUUAAAAAUUAUAAUUAUUAUUUUUAUUGCUAUUAGAUGGUAAAAUAUUAUUAGUAUUUUAUGUGAGACUUUUUCAAAAUUAUUCAUAAUUUUCAAAUAAGACGAAUGGUCAAAUAUUGAACACAUAAAUUCAUAAAUGCAGUUAUA